UGGGGAAUAUUGGACAAUGGGCGCAAGCCUGAUCCAGCCAUGCCGCGUGUGUGAAGAAGGCCUUUUGGUUGUAAAGCACUUUAAGCGAGGAGGAGGCUACUUGGAUUAAUACUCUAAGAUAGUGGACGUUACUCGCAGAAUAGCACCGGCUAACUCUGUGCCAGCAGCCGCGGUAAUACAGAGGGUGCGAGCGUUAAUCGGAUUUACUGGGCGUAAAGCGUGCGUAGGCGGCUUCUUAAGUCGGAUGUGAAAUCCCUGAGCUUAACUUAGGAAUUGCAUUCGAUACUGGGAAGCUAGAGUAUGGGAGAGGAUGGUAGAAUUCCAGGUGUAGCGGUGAAAUGCGUAGAGAUCUGGAGGAAUACCGAUGGCGAAGGCAGCCAUCUGGCCUAAUACUGACGCUGAGGUACGAAAGCAUGGGGAGCAAACAGG
rnacentral:rRNA from 1 species